AGACACUAGGGUUUUGCAUUCUCUUGAAUUCCUUUAUUGGUAGAUAAUUCAUUUUGUAAAAAUGAUCAAAUAAAAUAUUGCAAUAUUGGCUCAGAUUUUAUCUUUUAGACAAUUAUUCUAGCUUACAUCGUCAACUCCAGAAGACAGCCAUUAGCAGUCUGGACAAGCUUGUCACUGUCCUCUGUCCUCAACCUUGUUGUAAUGAAGAGUGAGGAGACACAGGACUUCUUCUCCAGUGGAUUCAUCUGAGGUACCUGAAGAGUCCGGAAGAAGGUGUGAGAAUAUUUGGAGCCUGAGUUACAGGGGGUUGCAUGCCCCAGUUAGGACUGCUUGGAACAGAACUCAGGUCCUCUGGAAUAGCAGCAAGUGCUUAUUGGCCAUUUCUCCCUCCAGCUUAACAUGGGUUACUCUUAAAGAGAAGAUUCAAAGAAACACGAAGAAGCCAGCUCUGACUCCAAGGAACAAGGUGGAGAGUUUAGUGAGCAGCCCUGCCCAUUUGUGCCUGGACCCCUUCUUUGCUCCCCUUCUGCUAAGCUGCCUUUGUGUUUGGACACCGUGGGAGCCUCAGCAGCUGCAGGAGGGCCUGGGCUCUUCAGAGAUGUCCCUGCACUGUUCUGGCUGCUGCCUCAGGGAGAUCUCUUUUAGAAAUGGACAAGCCAAUUUUGAGGAUGUAGAAAACAUUAGAAGUGUGACACACAUGGUCACUUGUGAUUAAGAUGGAUGCAAUAUGGAUUAUAAUUGAGCUUCUACUAUGUUCCGGAUGAUGAGUAAGGCAGGUAACAAUGGCCAAGUGAAGCAGUGAGAUUGGUCUGUGUUCAAAUCCUAGCUCUGCUCUUCCACACUCCCACAACCACUGCCACCAUAGUUAAUCAGAGUCUUCUGGGGAAAGGCAAGAGAGGCAUGAAGGCAGGCACAACUUUAAAAAGGCAUCUAAGGGUGCUUGGGUGUAACAAGUUCUCAGCCCAACCACUUGGGCAAAGAAACACCCUGAUAAAUGGCUAGUGGUUUCCAUUAAUGCAUCUGGCAGGGGCAUUCAAGGGCAUUUUAUUUGUCCAAUAGAGUGAAUUAGUUUGCUCAUGAGCACAGAAGUAUCCAAAUGAGUGUCCCUUAUCUGAUCAAGUCCAUCCCAAUGACCCACAUUUGAAUGCAAAGCCAAGAUCUGUCACUAGCUAAAUGUGACUCAGGGCACACCCCCUGGUUUCCUGAUCUCUUACCAGGAACCAUAAGGGGACAGCAGUGGGGAAAUAUCUUCUACUUUUAGAUACUUUGAAGAGUAGUAAACACAAUUUAAAAGUCCUUAACAAAUUGGAUGACAUAUGCAGGCUGAGAAACUGGGUGAUAUUUGCGGGGCGAGCGUUUUCUUUUUCACAGUGUUUUCUUUGACUUCCACACCUGUAUGCUUUCUCCUUUGUUGCAUGUUAUCAGACAUCCACUAGCUAGAACUUUUG